rnacentral:rRNA from 1 species
AGCGCAGGCGGGAAGACAAGUUGGAAGUGAAAUCUAUGGGCUCAACCCAUAAACUGCUUUCAAAACUGUUUUUCUUGAGUAGUGCAGAGGUAGGCGGAAUUCCCGGUGUAGCGGUGGAAUGCGUAGAUAUCGGGAGGAACACCAGUGGCGAAGGCGGCUUACUGGACGAUAACUGACGCUGAGGCUCGAAAGCGUGGGGAGCAAACA